rnacentral:rRNA from 1 species
ACGGGAGGCAGCAGUGGGGAAUAUUGCACAAUGGGGGAAACCCUGAUGCAGCGACGCCGCGUGAACGAUGAAGUAUUUCGGUAUGUAAAGUUCUAUCAGCAGGGAAGAUAAUGACGGUACCUGACUAAGAAGCACCGGCUAAAUACGUGCCAGCAGCCGCGGUAAUACGUAUGGUGCAAGCGUUAUCCGGAUUUACUGGGUGUAAAGGGUGCGUAGGUGGCAUGGCAAGUCUGAAGUGAAAUGCGGGGGCUCAACCCCUGAACUGCUUUGGAAACUGUCAAGCUAGAGUGUCGGAGAGGUAAGUGGAAUUCCUAGUGUAGCGGUGAAAUGCGUAGAUAUUAGGAGGAACACCAGUGGCGAAGGCGGCUUACUGGACGAUAACUGACGUUGAGGCUCGAAAGCGUGGGGAGCAAACAGGAUUAGAUACCCUGGUA